GAGCAGCAUCAGUGAAGAUCAAGAUCAGCAGGGCUGAAGGAUGACUAACAAAGAAUGGAAAAUACACCUCAUCUCUGUCAGUUGUAAGGGAUGUCAUCACUCUGAGGGACUGAGUUCAGAGCUCUGAAGUAACUGACUCCAGGGAUCAUGCGGGUGAAAGAAGGUGGUAUCAUGAGGAGGAGCUCACCAAAGUUCUUAUAAGCAGCUUUGAAAAAGACAGUUUUAAGAAUACCAGCUCAGAUCUGGCAAAGUGGACAUUGUUGCCAUCAACGACCCCUUCAUUGACCUCAACUACAUGGUCUACAUGUUCCAGUAUGAC
rnacentral:sRNA from 1 species